rnacentral:rRNA from 1 species
AUUGAACGCUGGCGGCAGGCCUAACACAUGCAAGUCGAGCGGUUGACGGGAGCUUGCUCCCUGAUUCAGCGGCGGACGGGUGAGUAAUGCCUAGGAAUCUGCCUAUUAGUGGGGGACAACGUUUCGAAAGGAACGCUAAUACCGCAUACGUCCUACGGGAGAAAGCAGGGGACCUUCGGGCCUUGCGCUAUCAGAUGAGCCUAGGUCGGAUUAGCUAGUUGGUGAGGUAAUGGCUCACCAAGGCGACGAUCCGUAACUGGUCUGAGAGGAUGAUCAGUCCAACUGGAACUGAGACACGGUCCAGACUCCUACGGGAGGCAGCAGUGGGGAAUAUUGGACAAUGGGCGAAAGCCUGAUUCAGCUAUGCCGCGUGUGUGAAGAAGGUCUUCGGAUUGUAAAGCACUUUAAGUUGGGAGGAAGGGUUGUAGAUUAAUACUCUGCAAUUUUGACGUUACCGACAGAAUAAGCACCGGCUAACUCUGUGCCAGCAGCCGCGGUAACAC